rnacentral:tRNA from 1 species
AAGCCUUGGAGUGUAAACAUGUCAGAUUGCAAAUCUGAAGAAGCAGAUUAAACGUCUGCCGAGGCUU